rnacentral:rRNA from 1 species
GAUGAACGCUGGCGGCGUGCCUAAUACAUGCAAGUCGGGCGAACGGACGAGAAGCUUGCUUCUCUGAUGUUAGCGGCGGACGGGUGAGUAACACGUGGAUAACCUACCUAUAAGACUGGGAUAACUUCGGGAAACCGGAGCUAAUACCGGAUAAUAUUUUGAACCGCAUGGUUCAAAAGUGAAAGACGGUCUUGCUGUCACUUAUAGAUGGAUCCGCGCUGCAUUAGCUAGUUGGUAAGGUAACGGCUUACCAAGGCAACGAUGCAUAGCCGACCUGAGAGGGUGAUCGGCCACACUGGAACUGAGACACGGUCCAGACUCCUACGGGAGGCAGCAGUAGGGAAUCUUCCGCAAUGGGCGAAAGCCUGACGGAGCAACGCCGCGUGAGUGAUGAAGGUCUUCGGAUCGUAAAACUCUGUUAUUAGGGGAGAACAUAUGUGUAAGUAACUGUGCACAUCUUGACGGUACCUAAUCAGAAAGCCACGGCUAACUACGUG